rnacentral:rRNA from 1 species
UACGGGGGGAGCAAGCGUUGUUCGGAUUUACUGGGCGUAAAGGGCGCGUAGGCGGUCAGCACAAGUCAGUUGUGAAAUCUCCGGGCUUAACUCGGAAAGGUCAACUGAUACUGUGCGACUAGAGUGCGGAAGGGGCAACUGGAAUUCCUGGUGUAGCGGUGAAAUGCGCAGAUAUCAGGAGGAACACCAAUGGCGAAGGCAGCUCGCUGGGACGUGACUGACGCUGAGACGCGAAAGCGUGGGGAGCAAACAGG